CUAAGGAGCAUCUGCUCAGCCUGCUCGAAGAGUCGAGUGGGGUUGUGCCAGAGCCACUUCGGACUCGAAUGAAGUCCGGUGGUGCUCAUGGGUGGAACGCUGAUGUGGGCCGGCAUCGAACUUCACUGCUCAGUCGGUGGAGUGCCGGAUGUAGUCGACACACUGUUGGGUCCUGAAAGAACAGACGUUCCUUCCAGGCAAAAAAUAGACUUGCUCGGAUCUUCGUGAGUACCGCAGGGUUUUGGCUCUGGCUGGCUUCGAGUUUCGGAUUCGGGUGGGUGUGUUGUUUGAGAACUGCACAGUGGACGCGAGCAUCUUUGUUUGUAAGUGUGUAAGGGCGUAC
rnacentral:misc_RNA from 1 species